GGGGUAGUGGCGUAGUUGGUUAGCGCGUAGGUCUCAUAGUUAUUGAGUUAUCCUGAGGGGGUCGAGAGUUCGAGUCUCUCUUACCCCA
rnacentral:tRNA from 1 species